GCGGAUGUAGUUCAAUGGUAGAACAUCAGCUUCCCAAGCUGAAUACGCGGGUUCGAUUCCCGUCAUCCGCUCAA
rnacentral:tRNA from 3 species